rnacentral:rRNA from 1 species
GAUGAACGCUGGCGGCGUGCCUAAUACAUGCAAGUCGAGCGAACAGACGAGGAGCUUGCUCCUCUGACGUUAGCGGCGGACGGGUGAGUAACACGUGGAUAACCUACCUAUAAGACUGGGAUAACUUCGGGAAACCGGAGCUAAUACCGGAUAAUAUAUUGAACCGCAUGGUUCAAUAGUGAAAGACGGUUUUGCUGUCACUUAUAGAUGGAUCCGCGCCGCAUUAGCUAGUUGGUAAGGUAACGGCUUACCAAGGCGACGAUGCGUAGCCGACCUGAGAGGGUGAUCGGCCACACUGGAACGGAGACACGGUCCAGACUCCUGCGGGAGGCAGCAGUAGGGAAUCUUCCGCAAUGGGCGAAAGCCUGACGGAGCAACGCCGCGUGAGUGAUGAAGGUCUUCGGAUCGUAAAACUCUGUUAUUAGGGAAGAACAAAUGUGUAAGUAACUAUGCACGUCUUGACGGUACCUAAUCAGAAAGCCACGGCUAACUACGUG